CCCUUUGAAUUUAACAUUCAGUAGAAGCUCUGGGAGAGAGGGUUCUUUGGGUUUAAUAGGACUGCAUAAUCUGGGAAACACUUGCUUUAUGAACAGUGCACUUCAGUGCUUGGUGCACACGUCAAAGCUUUUUGAUUACUUCCUUGGAGAUUACAGCAAUGAAAUUAAUCAGCACAAUCCAUUGGGCAUGGAUGGGGACCUUGCUCUUGCAUUUGGACAGCUAGUGAGGAAGUUAUGGGCUCCUGGGAGAACUCCAGUUGCACCACAAGAGUUCCAAGUCAAAACUUUCUCGUUUUGCACCGCAAUUCAGUGGCUACAACCAGCAUGAUUCGCAAGAACUCCUUGCUUUUCUGUUGGAUGGGCUCCAUGAAGAUCUAAAUCGUGUGAAAAGCAAACCUUACAUAGAAGCGAAGAAUGCAGAUGGUCA